CAAGUCGAACGAACUCUGGUAUUGAUUGGUGCUUGCAUCAUGAUUUACAUUUGAGUGAGUGGCGAACUGGUGAGUAACACGUGGGAAACCUGCCCAGAAGCGGGGGAUAACACCUGGAAACAGAUGCUAAUACCGCAUAACAACUUGGACCGCAUGGUCCGAGUUUGAAAGAUGGCUUCGGCUAUCACUUUUGGAUGGUCCCGCGGCGUAUUAGCUAGAUGGUGGGGUAACGGCUCACCAUGGCAAUGAUACGUAGCCGACCUGAGAGGGUAAUCGGCCACAUUGGGACUGAGACACGGCCCAAACUCCUACGGGAGGCAGCAGUAGGGAAUCUUCCACAAUGGACGAAAGUCUGAUGGAGCAACGCCGCGUGAGUGAAGAAGGGUUUCGGCUCGUAAAACUCUGUUGUUAAAGAAGAACAUAUCUGAGAGUAACUGUUCAGGUAUUGACGGUAUUUAACCAGAAAGCCACGGCUAACUACGUGCCAGCAGCCGCGGUAAUACGUAGGUGGCAAGCGUUGUCCGGAUUUAUUGGGCGUAAAGCGAGCGCAGGCGGUUUUUUAAGUCUGAUGUGAAAGCCUUCGGCUCAACCGAAGAAGUGCAUCGGAAACUGGGAAACUUGAGUGCAGAAGAGGACAGUGGAACUCCAUG
rnacentral:rRNA from 2 species